UACGUAGGUUGCAAGCGUUACCCGGUUUUAUUGGGCGUAAAGGGUCUGUAGGCGGUUUUUUAAGUCUUAUUUCAAAGACUUCGGCUCAACCGGAGAAAGGGGUAGGAUACUGGAAGACUAGAGUUAUAUCGGGGUUACUGGAAUUUGUAGUGUAGGGGUUAAAUCCGUGGAUACUACAAAGAACACCAAGCGCGAAGGCGGGUAACCAGGUAUUUACUGACGCUCAGAGACGAAAGCUAGGGUAUCGAAU
rnacentral:rRNA from 1 species